rnacentral:rRNA from 1 species
CUUGGUCAUUUAGAGGAAGUAAAAGUCGUAACAAGGUUUCCGUAGGUGAACCUGCGGAAGGAUCAUUAUUGAAAUAAACCUGAUAGGUUGUUGCUGGUUCUCUCGGGAGCAUGUGCACACUUGUCAUCUUUAUAUAUCUCCACCUGUGCACCUUCUGUAAAUCUGAAUAUCUUUCUGGAAUGCCUGGCAUAUUCAGGUUUGAGGAUUGAUCUUUUUCUUUCCUUGCAUUUUCAGGUUUAUGUUUUUCAUAUACCCCAAGUAUGUUAUAGAAUGUUAUCAACAGGUCUUUGUGCCUAUAAAUUAAUACAACUUUCAGCAACGGAUCUCUUGGCUCUCGCAUCGAUGAAGAACGCAGCGAAAUGCGAUAAGUAAUGUGAAUUGCAGAAUUCAGUGAAUCAUCGAAUCUUUGAACGCACCUUGCGCUCCUUGGUAUUCCGAGGAGCAUGCCUGUUUGAGUGUCAUUAAUAUAUCAACCUCUUCAGCUUGUUGCAUGUUGAGUGUUGGAUGUGGGGGUAUUUUUGCUGGACUCUAGAAUCUGAGGUCAGCUCCCCUAAAAUGUAUCAGCGAAACAAUUUGUUUACCGCUCAUUGGUGUGAUAACUAUCUACGCUAUUGACGGUGAAAGCACGUUUAGCUCCUAACAGUCCAUUAGCUUGGACAACCUCUUAUUAAUGUGACCUCAAAUCAGGUAGGACUACCCGCUGAACUUAAGCAUAUCAAUAAGCGGAGGAAAAGAAACUAACAAGGAUUCCCCUAGUAACUGCGAGUGAAGCGGGAAAAGCUCAAAUUUAAAAUCUGGCAGUCUUUGGCUGUCCGAGUUGUAAUCUAGAGAAGUGCUAUCCGCGCUGGACCGUGUACAAGUCUCCUGGAAUGGAGCGUCAUAGAGGGUGAGAAUCCCGUCUUUGACACGGACUGCCAGGGCUUUGUGAUACGCUCUCAAAGAGUCGGGUUGUUUGGGAAUGCAGCUCAAAAUGGGUGGUAAAUUCCAUCUAAAGCUAAAUAUUGGCGAGAGACCGAUAGCGAACAAGUACCGUGAGGGAAAGAUGAAAAGAACUUUGGAAAGAGAGUUAAACAGUACGUGAAAUUGCUGAAAGGGAAACGCUUGAAGUCAGUCGCGUUGUCCAGGGAUCAACCUUGCUUUUGCUUGGUGUACUUUCUGGUUGACGGGUCAGCAUCAAUUUUGACCAUUGGAAAAAGAUUAGGGGAUUGUGACAUCUUUGGAUGUGUUAUAGCCCUUGGUUGCAUACAAUGGUUGGGAUUGAGGAACUCAGCACGCCGCAAGGCCGGGUUUUAAACCACGUACGUGCUUAGGAUGCUGGCAUAAUGGCUUUAAUCGACCCGUCUUGAAACACGGACC